CUCUUUGUUUGUGUAAUAUGAAUUUGCCUUUGGCUAUUUAAGGCGUCCCUGCCAGUCUCGCUCCACAACUAAAGCUCUCUCUCUCUACACAUGCACAUUCAACAUCCCUUCUCUCUCUCAUCAACAUGCUCUUGUCCCCAAGUAGCCGGGAUAAAGCUCCGAUGAUGAUAAUGUUAUAUUUGCAGAUAACAUCAAGAAAAUAGAGCUCGAAUUAAGCUGUUCUUUAAUGGGAUGGAAUCAAAGGGAAGCCAUCAUAUUUUCCUUUGCCAUAGAUCAGCUUAAUUAUAUUUUGGAAGAUAUCACUGGGUGCGGUUAGCCCCAUCUUUAGGAUAAAAGUAAACCCCUACUUCAAAACCUUGGCUUUGAUUUUGAAAUUGAAGUUUAAAAAAUGGUGCACAUCUCUGAAUUCCUCAGAAUGGAUAGUCAAGAUUGACUUGAAAUCACUCCUUUUUUUCUGCAAAUCCAUAGUCAGCGAGACUGAGAUAAUGAAUUUAAUUAUUGUCCCUUAUGAGGACGACAUUUCCGACAAGGAGGAUUUAAUUUGAGAUUACACUCUAAUUUUCUAGUUGGUUUUAAACACGAAUGAUCAGUGCAAAUAUUGGAGAUGGAUGUUCCUUACCCCCCUUCUCUAGGCUUUUCAUAGAAUUGUCUCCGUUGUUCACAUUGAGCUUUAGCUAGUUAUUUGUGUAGGUUUAUUUUACUGAAAUUAAUGUAAUUGCAAAUAAUGCAGCUCCCAUUUUAAUCUAUCUCACUCUCUCUAUCUCUCGUUA